rnacentral:rRNA from 1 species
GGAAGACCAAGGGUUCCUGUCCAACGUUAAUCGGGGCAGGGUGAGUCGACCCCUAAGGCGAGGCCGAAAGGCGUAGUCGAUGGGUAACAGGUUAAUAUUCCUGUACUUGGUGUUACUGCGAAGGGGGGACGGAGAAGGCUAUGUUGGCCGGGCGACGGUUGUUCCGGUUUAAGCGUGUAGGCUGGUUUUCCAGGCAAAUCCGGAAAAUCAAGGCUGAGGCGUGAUGACGAGGCACUACGGUGCUGAAGCAACAAAUGCCCUGCUUCCAGGAAAAGCCUCUAAGCAUCAGGUAACAUCAAAUCGUACCCCAAACCGGCACAGGUGGUCAAGUAGAGAAUACCAAGGCGCUUGAGAGAACUCGGGUGAAGGAACUAGGCAAAAUGGUGCCGUAACUUCGGGAGAAGGCACGCUGAUAUGUAGGUGAAGCGACUUGCUCGUGGAGCUGAAAUCAGUCGAAGAUACCAGCUGGCUGCAACUGUUUAUUAAAAACACAGCACUGUGCAAACACGAAAGUGGACGUAUACGGUGUGACGCCUCCCCGGUGCCGGAAGGUUAAUUGAUGGGGUUAGCCGCAAGGCGAAGCUCUUGAUCGAAGCCCCGGUAAACGGCGGCCGUAACCAUAACGGUCCUAAGGUAGCGAAAUUCCUUGUCGGGUAAGUUCCGACCUGCACGAAUGGCGUAAUGAUGGCCAGGCUGUCUCCACCCGAGACUCAGUGAAAUUGAACUCGCUGUGAAGAUGCAGUGUACCCGCGGCAAGACGGAAAGACCCCGUGAACCUUUACUAUAGCUUGACACUGAACAUUGAGCCUUGAUGUGUAGGAUAGGUGGGAGGCUUUGAAGUGUGGACGCCAGUCUGCAUGGAGCCGACCUUGAAAUACCACCCUUUAAUGUUUGAUGUUCUAACGUUGACCCGUAAUCCGGGUUGCGGACAGUGUCUGGUGGGUAGUUUGACUGGGGCGGUCUCCUCCUAAAGAGUAACGGAGGAGCACGAAGGUUGGCUAAUCCUGGUCGGACAUCAGGAGGUUAGUGCAAUGGCAUAAGCCAGCUUGACUGCGAGCGUGACGGCGCAAGCAGGUGCGAAAGCAGGUCAUAGUGAUCCGGUGGUUCUGAAUGGAAGGGCCAUCGCUCAACGGAUAAAAGGUACUCCGGGGAUAACAGGCUGAUACCGCCCAAGAGUUCAUAUCGACGGCGGUGUUUGGCACCUCGAUGUCGGCUCAUCACAUCCUGGGGCUGAAGUAGGUCCCAAGGGUAUGGCUGUUCGCCAUUUAAAGUGGUACGCGAGCUGGGUUUAGAACGUCGUGAGACAGUUCGGUCCCUAUCUGCCGUGGGCGCUGGAGAACUGAGGGGGGCUGCUCCUAGUACGAGAGGACCGGAGUGGACGCAUCACUGGUGUUCGGGUUGUCAUGCCAAUGGCACUGCCCGGUAGCUAAAUGCGGAAGAGAUAAGUGCUGAAAGCAUCUAAGCACGAAACUUGCCCCGAGAUGAGUUCUCCCUGACUCCUUGAGAGUCCUGAAGGAACGUUGAAGACGACGACGUUGAUAGGCCGGGUGUGUAAGCGCAGCGAUGCGUUGAGCUAACCGGUACUAAUGAACCGUGAGGCUUAACCUU